GUGCCAGCAGCCGCGGUAAUACAGAGAGUGCAAACGUUGUUCGGAAUUACUGGGCUUAAAGCGCGCGUAGGCGGCAUCGUAAGUGUCAGGUGAAAUCCCACGGCUUACCCGUGGAACUGCCCGGCAUACUGCGAUGCUAGAGUGUGGUAGGGGAGAGCGGAACUCCUGGUGGAGCGGUGAAAUGCGUAGAUAUCAGGAGGAACACCGGUGGCGAAGGCGGCUCUCUGGUCCACAACUGACGCUGAGGUGCGAAAGCUAGGGGAGCAAACGGGAUUAGAUACCCCCGUAGUCC
rnacentral:rRNA from 1 species